rnacentral:lncRNA from 1 species
AGGUACUUAUGGGUCCAGAAGUCACACAGCCCACGGCCGGCUCCCCGGGUGGCUUUCUAGCAGGACUGUUCGCUGAUGGUUUCAACAAAGGACAGAGCCAGACAAACAGGAAGUUGGAGAACAGAGAAAGAGGAAGAGGCCUCCUCCAUGCGUCAAAGUUUUACCAACUAACUCUACUGUGCCAGAUUUGAUCACAGAAGCAGUCAAGGCCCGGCCUCUAGGGCAAAGGAGCAGGGCAGACCCCUGCCCACUGUGCUCAGUCACCCUCAGACGCGCCCCACCCGGGAACACGCCUUCAGCGCGUCGUGGGACCCUGCGAUACCUGUCACUCACCGCAGUCCGCAGUGACAAAGGUGCCACCGGGGCCUGCCCUCCUCGCGCCUCUUCUCCCACCCCCGCCCCCCCAGAGUCCCCUGACAUGGAGGCAAAGACUGAGUUCACUGUCACCAGGAGACUUGGCAGCCACUCCACUCCUGGGCCUCAGUGAGGGUGAGACCAGGGUCUGGGACCACCCUGGGAGGGAGCCACAAAGCUUGUGAGCCACUCGGAGACAGCAGAGAAGGGAUAAGACACUGACAGGUUGAAUUUCCCCACACUGCACCAGGACGGAGCCUAUUUUCUCAGCCACCCAAGUGCGGUUUUAAAUGGAAAACACACGGCGUGGGGCAGAAGCCUGUGUAGACGGGGCGCCUCCCGCCCGAGAGCUUGCUCUCGACAGAGGCAAACA